rnacentral:rRNA from 1 species
UACGGGGGGGGCAAGCGUUGUUCGGAAUUACUGGGCGUAAAGGGCUCGUAGGCGGCCAACUAAGUCAGACGUGAAAUCCCUCGGCUUAACCGGGGAACUGCAUCUGAUACUGGAUGGCUUGAGUUCGGGAGAGGGAUGCGGAAUUCCAGGUGUAGCGGUGAAAUGCGUAGAUAUCAGGAGGAACACCGGUGGCGAAGGCGGUUCUCUGGGCAUGUCCUGACGCUGAGGAGCGAAAGUGUGGGGAGCGAACAGG